UGCCAGCCGCCGCGGUAAUACGAAUGGGGCAAGCGUUGUUCGGAAUCACUGGGCUUAAAGCGUGCGUAGGCGGACUAGCAAGUCAGGAGUGAAAUCCCAGGGCUCAACCCUGGAACUGCUCUUGAAACUGCAAGUCUAGAAUCCAGGAGAGGUUAGUGGAAUUCCGAGUGUAGAGGUGAAAUUCGCAGAUAUUCGGAGGAACACCAGUGGCGAAGGCGACUAACUGGACUGGUAUUGACGCUGAGGUACGAAAGCGUGGGGAGCAAACAGGAUUAGAUA
rnacentral:rRNA from 1 species